UGGCGGACGGGUGAGUAACGCGUGGGUAACCUGCCUUACACAGGGGGAUAACACCUGGAAACAGGUGCUAAUACCGCAUAAGCGCACAGGGCCGCAUGGCCCGGUGUGAAAAACUCCGGUGGUGUAAGAUGGACCCGCGUCUGAUUAGCUUGUUGGCGGGGUAACGGCCCACCAAGGCGACGAUCAGUAGCCGGCCUGAGAGGGCGGACGGCCACAUUGGGACUGAGACACGGCCCAGACUCCUACGGGAGGCAGCAG
rnacentral:rRNA from 1 species